AUUUUUUUUCAAAUAUUCUGCAGGAGAAAAGCUACUGGAGCCAUCAGUAUCUAUCCUACUGCCACCCACAGAAGACGUUUCCGCUCAGAGGUUUCUCUCCCUCACCUGUUCAGUGAGAGGCUUCUACCCCCGAGAGAUCUUCAUCAAAUGGACAAACAAUGACAAGCCAGUGAAUCCCAGUAACUACAAGAACACCGAGGUGAUGGCGGAGAGCGAGAACACCUCCUUCUUCAUAUACAGCUGUUAUCCAUUACAGCGGAGGAGUGGGCCAGCGGUGCUUCAUACUCCUGUGUGGUGGGACAUGAAGCGAUUCCACUGUAGAUCAUCAACAGAACAGUCGUUAAAUCCAGCGAUUCAAUAGAUUGCACUUGGAUUGAAGACUAUGAAGAUGAUAAUGGCAACAUCUGGACAACUGCUUCCACAUUCAUCACCCUGUUCUUCCUGAGUAUUUUCUAUAGUGCUGCCGUCACUCUGGU